rnacentral:rRNA from 1 species
GAUGAACGCUGGCGGCGUGCUUAACACAUGCAAGUCGAACGGAAAGGCCUCUGCUUGCAGGGGUACUCGAGUGGCGAACGGGUGAGUAACACGUGGGUGAUCUGCCCUGCACUUCGGGAUAAGCCUGGGAAACUGGGUCUAAUACCGGAUAGGACAAUGGUUUGGAUGCUGUUGUGGAAAGUUUUUCGGUGUGGGAUGAGCUCGCGGCCUACCAGCUUGUUGGUGGGGUAAUGGCCUACCAAGGCGUCGACGGGUAGCCGGCCUGAGAGGGUGUACGGCCACAUUGGGACUGAGAUACGGCCCAGACUCCUACGGGAGGCAGCAGUGGGGAAUAUUGCACAAUGGGCGCAAGCCUGAUGCAGCGACGCCGCGUGGGGGAUGACGGCCUUCGGGUUGUAAACUCCUUUCGCUAGGGACGAAGCGUUUUUGUGACGGUACCUGGAGAAGAAGCACCGGCUAACUACGUG